UUUAUUGUUUAAUGGUAUGGUAGAUAUCAAUCUGCUUCCAUUUAGGAAAAGAAAAGCAGUGGUUUUGUUGUGAAAACUGCUUUAUGUGAUGUGAUAAGAGCUCAUAUUCCCAUCUGGCAAGAGGGAGCAGAACAUUCAAAUUAUUUUAGCUAGCCCUGUGUUACUAGUGGGAAAGGGAAUGAAACAUUGCUAUGGAAGUAAGUGAAUGCCUUACACUGAAGAUGUCAAAUGUGGAGUUGACAGCCAGGAUCCUCAACUACUGUACACAGUUUUGGACAAUUACUGGUUAAUACAGGGUCUUUAUAGCAUGAGACUGUACUCCAAAGCCAUAAUUGGAGUUGCGUUCUCUCUCAUAGCUGUGUCACAUCUCCUAGCCUCUUUUGCUCAUGCCCACACCUUUGUCCGUUCUUCUGUGUGGCUCCAAAGGUUCAGUAGUUUGGACUGUGGACUCAUGCACUUGAAAAUUCAUUUAGUGGCAAAAAAGAGUGCAGAAAAGGGGAUUUUCCCUUUCUCAACUGCUUAUCUCCAUCCAGUUCACCACGAGACUGCAUGUGGUUUUGUGCUGACUCAGGACUUUGAGCAACAUUUGAAGGUGGAAGGAAGCCACUCGAGGAGUGAGCAAGUAUGAAUAGAGACAAUACUGAAAUGCAUCAUGUACAGCCUAAUGCUGCUGGAUUGAAUUGUUAGUUUAAUGGGGUGACUAACAUUGCUGACCAUUACUCUCCUUCAAAAAGUUUCUCUUGACUUCUAAGUAAGUUGCAAAGGGAAACUGAAGUGUUGAAGCCUGUCUAGGGACAAUCUUAUUGUUUUCUUUCCAAGACUCAAUUUUGUUGAAACAGAAAACAUGACAUAUGGUUUGGUUUAUUGAGUAAACAACUACUUCAUCUCUAAAUGACUGUUUAGAGUAUGUGCACUGCUGGUAACUAACCUUUGUAAUCAAACAUUACCUAGAAAUUGCUACAGAUGUAUACACAUGCUUUUCUAGAUGAACUUGAAAGCCUUGAAAAUUUAAUUAAAAGAAUGUUAAGGUGUUAUGCAUAUGUUUACAGUUCCUAUGAAUGUCUGAAGCUUUCUGUUAUUCUUUUUUAAAAUUUGUUUUCGAGGUAUUAUUUUACUAGGAAGCUUGAACCAGUAUGUGCAUUCCCUAUACAAUAACAUUUUUAUAUUGUACCGUCUGUAAUGUGCUUAUUCUUGCAAGGUCUGUGUGAGGGAGAAAAGUAUUAUCAUAAUUAAAUUU
rnacentral:lncRNA from 1 species